rnacentral:rRNA from 1 species
GUAGGCAGCAAGCGUUGUUCGGAGUUACUGGGCGUAAAGGGUGUGUAGGCGGUCUUCUAAGUUUGGUGUGAAAUCUCCCGGCUCAACUGGGAGGGUGCGCCGAAAACUGGGAGGCUAGAGUGCGGGAUGGGAGAGUGGAAUUCCUGGUGUAGCGGUGAAAUGCGUAGAUAUCAGGAGGAACACCUGUGGUGUAGACGGCUCUCUGGACCGCAACUGACGCUGAGACACGAAAGCGUGGGUAGCAAACAGGAUUAGAUACCCUGGUAGUCCACGCCCUAAACGAUGCAUAUUUGGUGUGGGCCAUUCAUUUGGUCCGUGCCGGAGCUAACGCGUUAAAUAUGCCGCCUGGGGAGUACGGUCGCAAGGCUG